UGGAGGUUGAUGUAUAUCAGUAGUGGUAAUUUCAGAAUUAAAAACAUGAAUAAUAACAUUGUAGGUCAUUGGAAUAAUUAACAAGUUCAUUUCUAUUUUUCUUUCUUUCUCUGUUGAAAGUUAAAUCGGAGAAACUCAGGUUUUGUCUACACAUUUUUUUGAGUAGUGAAUUAUUGUUUUUGUUUUUCUUUCAAUUUUUUUUAUUUUUUUUAUUUUUUUAAUAGGCAAAGGGAAAAGAGAUGGGAGUAGCAUAAAUUAUAAUAGCAAGUCGUGAGAAGGCUGCCAUAUAAACAUUUAAUAUGAUCACUUUCAAAAUCAGUUGAAUAGGGUAAUAGCUAUUCGCAAACUUUGGCAGACAUUGGUACGCUACCAGUUGGCAGUGGUGGUGAUUGUUUUUAACAAUGGUGGUGUAUAUGGUGGCGAUCGGAGAAACCCUGAAGAGAUUACAGGACCUUACAAAGAUGAUCCAGCACCCACUUCUUUCGUUCCAGGUGCAGCAUAUCAUGUUCUAAUUGAAGCCUUUGGAGGCAGGGGUUAUCUUGUUGGGACACCUGAUGAACUAAAGUCUGCCCUUGCCGAAUCUUUUUCUUUAAGGAAACCGGUUGUGAUAAAUGUUACAAUUGAUAGGCUUUUUGCGCAUUUUUUAAACUAUCUUCAUCCUGAGAUGACAAGUUUGAAGGCAAAAUUAUGGAUAAGAAAGACACUGCCAACAACUCAGCCCUAUUUGAGAUUAUCGUAGGAGGGAGGUGGCUGGUGUGGGAACAAUUCAGCCCAGAAUUUUUAUUUACUAUCGGAGGAGGGAGGUGGCUGGUGUGACAACAACUCAGCCCUAUUUUUUUAUUUACUAUUUAACCCUGAAUUUUUUUAUCAAAUUUCAAUGAAAUUUAUUUUUGUUUUUUCUCCUCCUACACAUCAGCGAACUUUGUAAUCACUGCAAGGAUCUCAAAAGCAAGAGAAAACCCUUACCUCUCUUCCUCAUAAGAAACUGUGAGGGCAAAGUCUCUCUGGUAAGACUAUUGUUUCUUGUUUUGUGCUCUUCAUAGGUGAAGAAGAAGAGAAGGAAAAAAAAAAAAAAAUGAUAAAGAGGCGAUUCUACAGGAUAGAACAUGUUGAUGGCAAUGAUGAUGCUUCUGUUUCGUCUUCGGACUCCAAAAUAGAAGCGGAAGCUGAAGCAGAAGAAGAGACCUCUGCUGAGGAAGCCUCUGAAAAUGAUGUUAAAGGCCACAAUGAAUCUUCUACCUCUUCUGUAAAAGGAAAUAUCUGUGGAAAGGAUUCAGGAUGCUGCUGUUUUUCAUCCAUUUGCUGAAGCUGCUUAUACGGUAUUAUGAUAAACGAAGGUUCUUGAAUUAGCACUUCUUUAGCUUAUAAUGGUGUUUUAUAAAUUUUAAGGUGUGUAUGAUACAGGGUCCACUGCUUGAUUUUGGAAGAAAUCCCAUCUUAUUUCCUUGCA